rnacentral:rRNA from 1 species
CGGCGGACGGGUGAGUAACACGUGGAUAACCUACCUAUAAGACUGGGAUAACUUCGGGAAACCGGAGCUAAUACCGGAUAAUAUAUUGAACCGCAUGGUUCAGUAGUGAAAGACGGUUUUGCUGUCACUUAUAGAUGGAUCCGCGCCGCAUUAGCUAGUUGGUAAGGUAACGGCUUACCAAGGCAACGAUGCGUAGCCGACCUGAGAGGGUGAUCGGCCACACUGGAACUGAGACACGGUCCAG